AAUUGCUCAAGACAGCCAUUGAAAAGGCUGGAUACACAGGCAAAGUUGUCAUUGGAAUGGAUGUUGUUGCAUCUGAGUUUUAUGGAUAAGAUAAAACCUAUGACAUGAACUUCAAGGAAGAGAAAAAUGAUGGUUCCCAAAACAUCUCAAGAAAUGCUCUCAAG